rfam:Theileria equi strain WA gcontig_1105316255047 apicoplast, whole genome shotgun sequence.
UGAGGAAUAGUUUAAAAGAAAAAACAUCGAUCUUUGACGUCGGAAAUAAAGGUUAAAUUCCUUUUUCUUCAA